UUCCUGCAUUUUAUGCCAUAUGGAAUCUCUUUGCAGGAUUUGUUAUUCCACGCCCAAGGAUUCCAAUUUGGUGGCGAUGGUACUUCUGGGGAUGUCCAGUUUCAUGGACUUUAUAUGGCCUACUCGCUUCUCAGUUUGGUGAUAUAGAGACAGUGAUGACUGAUAUAAAAAAGCCAGUGAAGGAAUAUGUUAGGGAACACUUUGGUUAUAAGCACAGCUUCUUGGGGGCUGUUGCUGCGGCUGAAAUUGGCUUCCCUUUGCUUUUUGCUGUUGUUUUCGCAUUUGCGAUAAAGACUUUGAACUUCCAGAGGAGAUGAUGAUGUCUUGAAGGGCUACAUGAGAUGAUUCAUGACGUCGGUCUCCAAACAUUCCAGCAACUUAACUAGAAUUUCUAUCAAGGGCCAGCUUUUUGGCUUCUUUUCUUCUUCGCUGUAAACUUAUUUGGUUCUUCCCUGUAUUAGAAUGUAUCAUAUUUUUCAUUUCUAGAUCACCUUUGUUUGUAUGAUGUAACAAAUGAGAAAUUUAUUUCUUCUAUUUCUUUUUUUCAUUUAAA